CUGGCUCAGCUGUCACGUGACUGCCACGUCGCUUGCGACUUUGGAGACUACUAGCCUCUAGGGGGCGAAUGUCUUUACCGCCUCUUUUCCCACUUUGGGUUCCCCGUUAGUAGCGCAUGCGCAGCAUACGACUGCCGCCAGCUUUGUCUCCUGAACACCUCGUUCACCAUUUCUUCCUCCGGAGUCGGAAAGGCGCGCUUCUUUGGGCUCUUGAGAAGGUGGUCCGGAAGCUGGCGACCAAGGGUAGUUGUUCACCCUCAUCUGCUGAGACUAUAGAGAACAAGACAAAUUCAUGGGAAAAAUGGAAAAGCAAAAGUUCUGAUGUUUUGCUUUUGAUUUCACCAACUCCAGGUGUUUUCUUUUUAGAAAGAUGCUUCAUUUUUAAGGUUAGUAACUGCUAUCUUGAUGGAGGCAAGUGGGAAGGCCCCUGGAAGCAGGAUCCCCUGGGUUCUCUGGCUGAGGCCCUGCAAAUUAGACUGAUGAAAGACAGACUAACAAGAGAAAAACAGAUCCCAGGGAGAUUAACACUUCAAGACAUCUCUUAUCUUGGACAUAUUCUGAUGUCCUCAAAAGAAAAUGUGACUGCAUCCAAAUGCUAUGAUGGCUCCCCAGUUGUGCAUUGUGACAUUGUGCCAACAUCAGAGAUGGAUACUACUGCAGAGUGGAGAGGUUCUGAGAAGCAGAAGCAUGUGGGAGUGGAAAAUUACCAAAGAUUGGUUGCAUUUUGCAACAGUGAUCUGAUAGCCUGACUUCCCUCACCUUCCUCCAGGUACAUACACCAUGAUACAAGUUUAGCUGUGAGUACAACUAACUACAUGGUGAAUCUCUCAGCCUUGCUUGACAGCAAUCAUGACAAAUGCUCUGGACUCACCCAUAUGCACUUGUGUGAGAGAAAAGGUCCAAGGCCAAAGAGGUUUUGUUUUGUUUUGUUUGUUUUUGUUUUGUGCCCUUACUCUGAUGAUGACAUACCGUGAGCAACCUUAUGGAAAGGCCCAUAUGGCAAGGAGCUGAGUGUGGCUGGCCUCUGGCAAACAGCCAGUGAGGAACUGAGGCCCUCCCUCUAACAGCCUGGGAACAACUGAAUCCUGCCAACAACAUCAUGAGUGGGUUUGGAAGCAGAUCCUUCUUUGGUUAAGGCUUCAGAUAAACUUGAUGCAAAUUUGCUGAACAUCUACUACCACAAGGAAUGACCAAUAGUGUUAAUAUUUUUUUGUCUUAAACCCAAUCCUACAUCAUUAAUUGUGUGAAAUAAAGCCACCAUAGAAACUCCCAUAUCAUAGAGUAUCAUGGGGACUUAAUUUUUUCUAAUUACUGAUGUAAUAUGUGUGGGGUUCAGAGAUUUUGAAAAAUAUAGCCAAUAUGUAAGAGGAGCCAUUGCUAAAAUUUGGUUAUAGAGUUUCUAAGAUUUUGUUCUUUGUUUAUAUGUACAGAUUUUAAGCAAAUGUAGAAACAUAUUGCUUUGUUACUUUUUCUUUAACAUAAUAAUACUGUAUAUUGACCAGUGUUUUCUGUGACAGUAAAUACUAAUGUUUAA